GUUGUUCGGAUUCACUGGGCGUAAAGCGCACGUAGGCGGACUUGUUAGUCAGAGGUGAAAUCUCACUGCUCAACAGUGAAACUGCCUUUGAUACUGCAGGUCUUGAAUCCAGAAGAGAGUUGUGGAAUUCCGAGUGUAGCAGUGAAAUGUGUAGAUAUUCGGAAGAACACCAGCGGCGAAGGCAGCAACUUGGUCUGGUAUUGACGCUCAGGCACGAAAGCAUGGGGAUCAAACAGG
rnacentral:rRNA from 1 species